rnacentral:ribozyme from 1 species
AACGUAUUCAAAAACAAAUGAAGAUCAAAACAAAAUAAAAUUUGUGAUGACAAAGUUUCGCGCAAAGUUGCACAUUUCUGAUUUUUCUUCUUUGCCUUUUUUGGGUUCUGUUUUUGUUGUUUUUUGUUUGUUUGUUUACUUGAAAGA